rnacentral:rRNA from 1 species
AUACGGAGGGUGCAAGCGUUGUCCGGAUUUAUUGGGUUUAAAGGGUGCGUAGGUGGCGUGUUAAAUCAGUGGUGAAAGCCUGCAGCUCAACUGUAGAGGUGCCAUUGAUACUGACAUGCUUGAGUAUGGACGAGGUAGGCGGAAUUUGUGGUGUAGCGGUGAAAUGCAUAGAUACCACAAAGAACACCGAUAGCGAAGGCAGCUUACUGGACCAUAACUGACACUGAGGCACGAAAGUGUGGGUAGCGAACAGGAUUAGAAACCCUAGUAGUCC